rnacentral:lncRNA from 1 species
UCCUGGCUGACUUGUUUUGACUCUUUUGUGAGGCCCACACCUAAGCUAAACACUCACGUGCCCCCACACUGACUCCCCACACUCUAAAGCAUGAAUCUGCCCCUUCAGCUGGGAGAGGGUCCUCGUGUCAUCUGGGUUUUUGGAGAGAAGGUCAAGGGAGCCUGGGUUCUAGUUCUUCAGUAAUCAAGAGUAAGGGUCUUACCUGUUCACAGUUCCCUGUGGCUGCUUUACAGAAAGCAGGAAGUGGCCACUUCAGCCACACGGCUGCAUUUCCAGCUCAGUCCAGGCAGAGCUGCACCCUGCCUUGCACCUCUGCAGAUCCUGAGGGGAGUCCUUAACUGAGCCAGGGCGAGUCCUGGGGGCACUCUGCCCCUGUGGACACUGCCCCUGGGCAGGCCAUGAAUCUCCUCUGCUCCCACACUCUAGAGUUCAACGGGUCUCAGGGGCUCUGCCUGAGGACUGCCCUUCAACCAGGCCACAGGGAAAUCUGGAUCCUCUGGUGAAAAAGCAAAUCCAGUUGCUGCUGCUGCUGCUGCUGCUGCUGCUGCUGCCGCCGCCGCCGCCGGUUCUUGUAAAUGUCCUCACUUGGUUUCUGGGCAGCAACUUCCUUGACUUGCCUGGGGAGCGGAUCUGAGCUGCAUUUACCAGGCCAUGCCCAGGGGAAGUGAUCAGUGUGGGACCGUGAAGCUGGAUUUCCCCAGGAGCUGCCUCCAACCUUCUGGGAUGAUGAUAAGACUUGGGAUGAACCAAGGAUCUUGAACCAUGGGACAAUGUGAAGUCUAGACCUAGUGGAGGAAGAGAAAGGCUACGGGAAGGGCAGGCUUCACGUUACUGAGCAUCCGCUACCUGCCACACACUUUCACGUGGCCUUAUUCUGUGUGUUUCUCACAGCACCCUUGAGAAAUAGAGACUACGAUCACAUCUUUUACAUAAAAGAAAACCACCAUCCAGGGAGGCGAAGUCCCUUGCUCACAGACUGUCAUGUGGGAAGCUCUCUGGAUGCAAUGAUGUCCUCCAGUUGCAGUACCAGGCAAGCUGUCCCAGAGUUCAUGGAGCGGAAAGGCUCGAGAAGCAACUGAGGAUGCUCGAAUCACAGUCAACCUCACCCACUCAGGUGUGACCACGAGGACCAGAGCCGAGGUCUGGGCAAGAGUGCUCACAGCUGAAGGGCUUAUGACACACACCGGCUCAACGGGACAGACAUGGGACAAGUGUGCCUGAUCAUGGUGGAGUUGCCAAGAAGCAGCUGUCGCACUGCCAUGGGUUCUACGUGUUUCUUGGGCAGAGGACGCAUGGGACCAGAAUGGGCACCAGGAAUGGUGGUGAACAAAGGCCCCAUGGUUCUGCAUGUUUAGGUGUCUCUUGUAUAAAGGCACAUUGUGAAUUGAACAUUUAGUGCCCAGGAGCCUCAUGCAUAUUAAGUAUCUCUUGGCCCUUGUGUCUCUUCCUUCCCACAUGUAACAUACCUGUUCUCUGUAACUAUCUAUUCUGAACGUAUCUAAAAACCAUGUCUUGCCUGUGUUAUACAAACCACAUGCAUACUCACGUUCUCUGAUGUAGCUGAAUGUUUCCUAAGGCCAGGGCACAUUUCAGGGUCACAUAGAGUGGAGAGAGGGACCAAAAUAGCCUUGCUCUGUUUGACUCCCAGCCGAGAUGUCUGCUGGGCAGCACUGCCUCUGUAGGCUCUAAUGGGGGAAGGGAGCUCAGGGGAGCCUCUGGGGCUGGGCAGGCUACCAGAGGGUGUGGACAUUUGGGUGGACCCUGACGGAGGACUUGGGUUUCCUUGGGAGGAAGUGUCAGGAAGGGCAUCUGGGGCUGAGAGCACUGUGUGGGCAACAGAAGGAAGGAAACUGUGGCUGGCUGGGAAGGGAUGGUACGGGGGACAGGGUGAGACUUCUGGCCCUGGGUGCUCAGAUGAAGACCUGGGGUUGCCUAGUGGCUGGAAACACACACCAGCUGUGGCAACUUGACCUCUGGGAUGUGAGUGUGCAGGCAGCUGCUGAGAACGGCUGUGGAUUUGGAGAUGUGGCUACAGGGAAUGGGCAGUGGAUUCAUCUGGGAAUUCUGCAGUCAGUGGCCCAUAGAGGAAACAGCCUGGAAAUGAGACUGCAGAUACGUGCUAAAGAGGCUGGAGGAACAGUGACCCCAGUACAAGUUUAUGGAUCUUAUCCACAAUCUAAAGAAAUGGAGGCCAAAUGGCUUUUGAAAUUCUAAAAUACAUGCAGAGGAAGAGUAAUGCUUCAUGGGAGAGCCAGACUCUUACUGGCAGUGACGCUACACGGUAGAGCUCUGUUCCUCCUGCCCAUGUCUGUGGUUGGGGCUGGGGUAGUGCAUAAACAUGACGCUGAUGAGGCCCAAGCAUUGUUGGAAAAGAAUUCAGCAGCUGCCACAAGAAUCUUGAAUCCGUGGGUGAAGACCUUGACUUUUUCUGGGACCAAUGUGGUCAAGAACAAAGUAAAAUAAUGACAACAAACACUGUUCAGUUUUCCAAAUAUAAGCUAUUUUAAAUACUCUACAUUUACCCUCAAAGACUGACAUAACUUAGAAUAACUUUUAUAACAGCAAGGAUGAGAACUAAAACUUAAAUUGUAAAUACAAUUUUAUUUAUAAAAACAAAGUUAG